CACCAAUGACUUCAAGGAGAAAACAAAAGACAAACCCGUGUGUACCACGAGUGUUAGCUGGCAACAAGAAAUGUUAAAUUUCAUAGUAAUUUUGGAAGUAUAUGACAGCCAAAUACACGGGUAGACUUAACAUGCCUGACCACAAACAUACUUCUUUCCAAAGCUGCGCCGGGACAGAAACUUUCUGUAUCUUCUGACUUUAUUACCACCAUCAGUUGCUCACCAAUGUUAAAAAUUAAAAUGACAGUUCAUAAAGUGCAUUUUAGGAUCUGUACAUGGUGUUCAGGGCAACAUUAGAACCCAACAUACAGGAGGAAAAGGCAUCUUAGUGCUGCUCUUCAGCCAUCAAAACAAAAAGACAAACUUCCAGAAAACUCCGUGGCUGCCAAACUUGACCUUAAUGUUGGUUGCUAUCUCCCUGUAGCACACACUGAGCAAGCAACGCCAAACUCCAAAGGUUCCAGAGAGAUGAAUUCCCCCACGGGAAUCCAUAAAAGACCUGCAAGGAGCAAGGGACACAAGCGGAGUGUCAGGGAGCGCUCCUGUCCCGGCCAUCCGCAGCGAGCAUCUGCUGACACACCAGCAAAGCCCUCUCUGUCAACACCGCCGCCUCGCCAAGAGACCAAGAUUAGCAAGCUGCGAGCUUGCUGCUGACCAGGCUGCGAGGAGCAGAGGUGCCUAAAGCGCCUACCAGAGCUGUCAUCUCUAAACUUUUAACCUGCUCGAGCAGGGCCAGAGAGGCACGGCGGACCGAGAACAAAACAGCAGAAGUGCAGCGGCCAGCUGGGGGCUGCGGCUCGGGUUACAGCCAGCGCUCCAGAGCCUCUCCACAAUGAAUAGUCCCUUUUUUCUGCCGGAGUUAUGCAGAAAUUGAGAGUCUGCACGUGCUGCUCUUACCCGCAGGUAGUAAAACCACCUGUGCUUUAGAGGGGGGAAGGCAGACGAGGAGCAGAGCACAACAAAAGCCGCAGUUACUUUUUUUUUUUUUAAAUACUCGUGCAUCAAGUUGUGUGUUCGGAGCUGGGGAAGUGACUGUGCAGCUAAAUCACCUCAGCAUCUGACUCACAGCACUCGGUUGAAGAGUUCAGCGAUCAUCUCCCUACCAACAGCAGCAAAUUGAGCGGAAUUUUCCUAAACCACCGUCAAGACUUCGGGAAACCGCUUUCCCUCUCUACGUCUGGCUCACCUCACAAUAAAAAUAAAAAGAGCCAUCCUGGAAGCCUUUUCCGCCCCGAUGCCGCCCGGAAAGCGGCCGUGCUGCAGUGCCCUACCUGUGCGCACACAGGUGCCGCCUCCCCGCUCCCGUUACCCGCUCGCCCCACACCGAGCCCCCGCCUCGCCCCCUCCCGCCCCGGGCCGCGACCCCGGCGCUCCCCGGCGAGCGGCGCCCGGCCAGCCCGGCGCGGCCCCCGCUGCGGGCGCGGACGGGGCUCUCCGCAGUGCUCAUGUCCAGGUGAUAUCAGGCUUCCAAAAAAAACAAAAAAAAGCUGUUCCAGGAGGAAGAGGAUGCUGAGCCAAGGCAUGCAGGUGCAGUCAGGAACAAUUUUCCAGGCUGGGCUGGAGGAAGGUGUCCCUGCCCAUGGGACAGGGGUGGAAUGAAAUGGGAUUUAAGGUCCCUCCCAACCCAAACCAGUCCAGGAUUCUGGGAUUUUCUGGGAUUCUACAUCCAAAAGUACAAACAAAUUCAGAUCUGUGCACAUAAAGUGAAAGGCCAGACUGAGAACAUCUGCAGGAUACAAGACCCACCUGAGAUUCCAGGGAUUUGAGGCACUGGGAAUUCAUCUGUGAGCUCUUUAGGUAAGUGAUGGCUUAAUGAAAGAGAAAUUAAACAAUUAAAUGUUUCCUGCAGGGGGAUGUGGAAUCAGCUGCUGCAUAUUCCAUGAAAAUAAUGGAUCACCAUCACCACUUCAUGUCAACAACACCAACAGUGCCACCCCCUUUUGCCCCUGCUGUCCCACUGCUCCUGCUCCCGUUGUUUCAUCAGGACACUGAGAUUCUGAAUCCAAAAGAUGCAGAUUUCAUUUUCAACACCAAUAAUUAAUUUGGUGACGAUCACCUCACAAUACACACUGCAUCCAAAAUACACCAGAGGUGCAAAAGGAGUUCCUUGAUCCUUUUUGCCCCUACAAAUUCCAAUACUUUUGGCAUUCUCAGUGCACCAUUCCGUGACAUGCCCAAACUUGGGAUGUUUCUUUACUGCUGUUCUUCCACACAGGCACAAAAAACUCUUUGCCAGACGUUUCAAGUGGACCCUGCUGGCUGUGAGUUUGGGAAUGAUGGAUUAUCUUGGGAUCAGCCUGCUGAGCAGCUUCUCCUUCCUUCCACUCCUCAACUCA